rnacentral:rRNA from 1 species
AACGCGAAGAACCUUACCUACCCUUGACAUCCUGAGAAUUCUACAGAGAUGUAGAAGUGCCGAAAGGAACUCAGAGACAGGUGCUGCAUGGCUGUCGUCAGCUCGUGUUGUGAGAUGUUGGGUUAAGUCCCGUAACGAGCGCAACCCUUAUCCUUAGUUGCCAACAUGUAAUGGUGGGGACUCUAAGGAGACUGCUGGUGAUGAACCGGAGGAAGGCGGGGACGACGUCAAGUCAUCAUGGCCUUUAUGGGUAGGGCUACACACGUGCUACAAUGGGGCGCACAGAGGGUAGCGAACCUGCGAAGGGGAGCCAAUCUCAAAAAACGCCUCGUAGUCCGGAUCGGAGUCUGCAACUCGACUCCGUGAAGUCGGAAUCGCUAGUAAUCGCGAAUCAGAACGUCGCGGUGAAUACGUUCCCGGGCUUUGUACACACCGCACUACUA